UACGUAGGGCGCAAGCGUUGUCCGGAAUUAUUGGGCGUAAAGAGCUCGUAGGCGGUUUGUCGCGUCUGCUGUGAAAACCUAAGGCUCAACCUUGGGCUUGCAGUGGGUACGGGCAGACUAGAGUGCGGUAGGGGUGACUGGAAUUCCUGGUGUAGCGGUGGAAUGCGCAGAUAUCAGGAGGAACACCGAUGGCGAAGGCAGGUCACUGGGCCGCAACUGACGCUGAGGAGCGAAAGCAUGGGGGAGCGAACAGGAUU
rnacentral:rRNA from 1 species